AGUUUGUCUCUGACAUUAAGACUAGACUUCAGCAUAAGAAUCAAUACAAUUCUGGGACUAGGAAGAUACAAUUCACAGGAGAUCACACUGGUAGCUCACAACCAACAAAAUUGCCUUACUCCCCAAAGAGAACUACCUGGAAGGGAAAUGAGGCAAUGACAACAACUCAACUAUUGGGUUUGAAACAGAAAAAGAUUGGUAAACUUAAAGCUAGAAGAGGCAAUGGGAGGGCAAGGGGGAGUACUAUAACAAGUAAUGAUGAGUGUAAUAUACAUUUUCUUCCUUUUUUGCAUAACUGUUUGACUAUACUAUGUUUGUUCAUGUUCUAGGUCUUUAGACAAGUAAAUAUUGUGACGGUGGUAUAAGUUUUUGGAUCACACAUUUACUUGUCUAAUAGCAAUAUUUUAUUGGGCUUAAAUAUUGAAACAAUGUAUGUUUGCUACUCGAUUAAUGGCAAUGUUCUUCUUAUCUAUCUAUAAGAGAUGAUUAUAAUUAUAUCGCCAUUCCAUUAUUAGUGAUUUUCCUUGUAUGCAAAAAUAUGUGUGAAACUUAUAGUAUCAACAAAAACUUCAUUUCAUACCAACAAAGUACCAUUACAACUGCAACAUCACUAGACUCAUCAACAAUUACAACAUCCCAAAUCAAUAAACAUCAAAAAACCUUCAACAAAAUCGGCAGAAUUACAAACUUUGAACCAAAUAAUCUAACUACACUACAUCAUCUUAAAAACUAGCACCAACACAAAGACGACUCAAGAAAAAAUAAUAAACCACUUGUCACGACUCAAUUUCUUCCUCAGUGAGUUGCCGUGAUGACACCUAGUCUCUACGACUAGGUAAGCCUAACACUUUGCGGAAAAAUAAAAUAAAAGCAUGAACAUUAACUACUAACAGUGAUAAAUAUCUAAUAAGCAACUGAAUGCCACUCCGUAUAUACAAUUUUUACCUAUGAAAUGUAUCAAAUAAUUCCCAAAACCCGGAAUACUGUAAGUCACAAGCUACUAAGAAGUCCUAAAUAUUAUAUACAUCAUCUCUACAGAAAGAGAGGAAAAAUGAACAUAGGGUAAUAGAGGGGAACUCCGAGGAUCUGCGAGCACGGGCAGAUAUACAUUGAAGUCUCCAAUAAGCAGCAGUGACUGCAACUAGUGAUGAGACUGGUAAGAUGAACCUGGAUUUGCACACGAAAAAUAUGCACAGGAAAGGGCAUGAGUAUACUACAACGGUACUCAGUAAGUACCAAGCCUAACCUCGGUUGAGUAGUGACGAGAUCAGGUUAGGGCCCUACUGGUAUAAACAUAAUGAAAUAAGGAAGAAUGAAAUACCACAGGAAAAAAUAGAUACGGAAAGCUAACAAAGAUAGAAAAAAUGAAAGAAAAUAGCUCAUAACACAGUGAUAACAACAAGGGAUCUCCCGAGAUAUCGUCUCGUAGUCCCAAACGUAAAUAUGCAGGGGAUCUCCUGAAAUACCGUUCCUUAGUCCCAAAGUAAAUAUGCAGUGCUGGAGGAUCUCCCUGAAUACCGUUCUGUAGUCUCAAAGCAAAUAUAUAGCUCAAGUCAAUGAAGAAACAUGAAUUUCACUAAGCAUGUUGCACAGAGUUCAGAUAAGCAAUUAAGACACGUAGACAUGAUGUCCUAAACUAAACAGGAUAAUUACAUAUGCUAGUAUAACUCAGUUAAAGGAAAGCAUAUAUUUAUUUAAUGAAAAUGGAGAUUUUCGACAAAUAGCCUGUGUACGCACUCAUCACCUCAUGUACACGGCGCUAAUACAUCACACAGUACCAAAUCCUAAGGGGAGUUUAACCACAUAAGGUUAGGCAAGUCACCUACCUCGAACCAAGCUCAAUCAAUCUGCCACAAUGCUUUUGAAAUGGCCCAAAUUUAGCCAAAACCAAUUACAUAACAUGAAUAUAACUACAAGAAACUAAUCUAGCUAUUGAAAUCAAAGCUAAAGCAAGAAACUGAAAAAUCGCUCAAAAAGCCUCCCCGGACCCACAUUUUGAAAUCAGGUAAAAGUCACAAAGUAUGAACACUCAUUCACUCACGAGCCUAAACAUGCCAAAUUCACUCAAAUUUGAUACCAAAAUCUCGAUCAAAACCCCAAAAUUUGGUCUAAGAACUCUUCUCAAAUUUUCCCAAAUUUUCAUCCCAAAUCCAAAAUUAAAUGAUAAAAUUAAUAAUAGAUUAGUGGGAUAUAACCAAAAUCAAGUUAAGAAUCAUUACCCAAUUGAUAUAUCUGAAAAUAAAUUAGUGGGAUAUAACCAAAAUCAAGUUAAAAAUCAUUACCCAAUUGAUAUCUCUGAAAAUCCCUCAAAAUCUCGUCUAAAUCCGAGCUCCCACACUCAAGUUUUGAUAAAAAUGGCUAACCCUCGAUUUUGAAAUGUUUAAGUACUACCCAGGUAAUCCUUCUUUGCGAAUGCGGACAUCUUCUCGUGUUAACUUAGAACAAAAGUCCACUGAUCGAAAUUCUUCUUUCGCGAACGCGAGAGUCCUCUCGCGAACGCGCAACUUCACUUGCCAGACCCUUCGCGAAUGCGUUCUCCUCUACGCGAGAACAAAUCCUUGGGGUCCCAGCUGUUCCAUUUUUUCCUCUACGCAAACGCGUCCUACUACUCGUGUUCACGAUGCUUCCAAUGGCCACACCUUCGCGAAUAUGAGCUCCUCUUCGCGAACGCGAUGAACAAACUUCGGCAACAAAAACUAGAAAAAAUCUGCUAUCUUUCUAAAGUCCAAAAUGAUCCGUUGAGCAUCCAAAACACACUCGAGGCCCCCGGGAUCUCAACCAAACAUAGCAACCAAUCCUAAAACACCAUACGAACUUAGUCGAUCCCUCAAAUCACAUCAAAUAAUGCCAAAAUAACGAAUCACCCUCCAAUUCAAACAUAAAGAACUUGAAACUUCAAAAUUCUACAACUGAUGCCGAAACCUAUCAAUCCACGUCCGAUUGACCCCAAAUUUUGCACACAAGUCAUAAUUAACACUACAGACCUACUCCAACUUUCAAAAUCAGAAUCUGAUCCCGAUAUCAAAAAUUUCUCUACCGGUCCAAAUCUCCAAAAAUUUAACUUUCGCAAUUUCAAGCCUAAAUGAGCUAGGGACCUCCAAAACACAAUCUGGAUACGCCCCUAAAUUCAAAAUUACCUAACUGAGCUAACGGAACUAACACAACUCCAUUCGAAGUCAUCUUCACAUAGUUUCGACUACAGUCCAAUUCCUAAGGCUUAAGCUCCCAUUUAGGGACUAAGUGUCCCAAACACUUCUAAAAAUCAAAAUGAAACCUUCCGACAAGUCACAAUAGCAGAAAUAGAUAUGGGGAAAAUAGUUAAUAGGAGAUCGGGGUUUUAAGUCUCAAAACGACCGGCCGGGUCGUUACAUCAUUUCAUCAUUUGUAGUUUAUCCUCCAUCCUACCCGCAUCCUCUAAGUUUGCUGAAUUAAUUCCCUCAAUCUCUUACAUUAUUUUCUCCAUUUUCAGUCUUUCAGCAGAAACAACAUCUUCCAAGUUGUCAUCAUCUUCUUCAGUUAAUUCCUUUCAACUUCCACGGACUUCAGUGAAGUAUUCAAGUUGUUGAUUAACAUCGUCACAUGUGGCGACAUCUCUUCAUCCCGCCAUUCUCACAAACCACAUGAAGCUUCCUUGUCAAAAUGAGGACAUUUGUAGAAUCUACGACCACCGUUCAAGGAGUCUUAGCUACAAAAUAAUUUGCAAUUAAACCACAACCACAACGACACGACGAACCGGAAGAGACAGAUUUUUCAGACAUCUUGAAUUUUCUGUUAAUCAAUUAAGGCACAACUUUUACAACCAAACACAAUAUUCGAAGGGAACAGACAAAAAUUAAUUAGUUAAAAAAGAGAAAUUUUGGGGAAGAAGUUGGUAUGAGCAUACUUGAUGACCUAGGAACUAAAUUGGGAAAGAAGACGACUGAAACAGGUGGGUAUAAGGUAAAAAGAACUGACCUAGGUAAUAAAGGGUGGGUUGGAUCAGUUAAAUAGGUCGAAAAAUACCCAAUUUCAAUUUCAGCCCCACAAAGCCACGUGGCCAAAUGAAAGGUUGCCACAUCAUUUAAUGAGAGACCCACAUGUGUUGCCGUUAGUCGCGAUGGUAAUUUUGAUAAUAGAAUUAGUGUCCCAUACAUUUUCAGACGAAUAGAUCAGACGAUUAGAUGGAGGAGGGUGUAUAUAAACAAUUUACUAUACGAUAGGGAUAGUUUAAGCCCUUUUCAGAUCUAACAAUAAUUAUUAUUGCUUAACUUUUUUAGUACUUCAAUUCUAUCUCACUUUAAAACAUUAAUUCCAUAGAAGGGUUCUAUGCUCCUUUGACAUGUACUAAUUUAUUUGCGUUAAAUAUUAACUUUGUUUCUCUAUAUAAUAAUAUGUUACUAUUUUAUAGGAAGGUGUCACGGGGAUAUAAUGGAAUUGUUUUCCGAGGUCAAGAUUCUCAAGAAGGUACAGUAAAUGAAGAGGUGGAGGGAAAUUAGCACACCCUUGAUAGAUUAUGUUGUGUUGUCUCCUAUGCAACUAAUGACAUAAUCAAAGCUAUAAUGUAGAAUUAAAGUGCAAUUCCAAUGGUUAAGUCCAUAUAAAGGUGGAACUAAUUGAAGGUGAAGACAAAAUGGGAUACAACAAAAUACUAAAAUAAUUGGUCCAAAAUUGCUAAUCGAACACUCAUAAUCCCUUAGAUGAGACCAAAAAAGAACCCAUUGGUGGUAGUGAGAGUCCCCCUCGUAGUCUUUUAAGCCAUUGAUUGAAAAUCAAUUUUUUUUAUUAUAACCCAAAAGGAUAUAAAAAUAAAAAUAAAAAUUAUGGUUUGCAAGGAAGUAACACUAGAACGCAAAACAAUGAUAUCCAAACAAAAAUUCCUGGAUUUAUCCAAGAACUUCAAUUUGUGGCCAUCCUUUAAUGCUCUAAUGCUAACAAUAAUAGCAAGUCUCUUGUAUCAAAGAAGAUAGCCCACUCAACUCUCUGUCCAAGCAAAACAACCAAAAACAAAAACUUUAGCUCCUCUUACCUCUAGCUAGCAAUGAAUGACACAGUUGACAAGCUAGUAAUUUUCUUGGCAAAGAGAGAUGGAAUUGACAAACUUGUCAAGACAUUCCAAUACGUAUCCAAGCUCGUAAAUUGGCACGCUGAGAAAACGUACCCUGAAUUUGCUACUAGAGCUAAGCAAUGGGAAGUUGCAUCUGGCCUCAGUCGAAAAGCUUUCCGAAGUGGUCGAUUCCUCACUGGAUUCAAUGCCCUACGAAGGAGCCCCGGCACGUCCUCAGGUUUCAGAUUGCUAGCAGUUCUUGCCAAUUCAGGAGAGAUGGUCUAUUUCUUCUUUGACCAUUUUCUCUGGCUGUCGCGAAUCGGAGUUAUGGAUUCUAAAUAUGCAAAAAGGAUGAGCUUUAUUUCUGCAUUUGGUGAGUCUGUUGGAUACGUGUUUUUCAUUAUCUCGGAUUUUAUUCUCAUUUCAAGGGGCCUAAAAGCAGAAAGGAAGCUUUUGACUGAAGAGGAGGAGCCUAAGGAAACAGAAGGAGAAAUCAAGAAAAUUAGAAUGGAUAGGAUUAUGAGAUUGAUGGCUGUGGCAGCUAAUAUAGCUGACCUUAUAAUUGCCUUGGCUGAAAUUGAACCAAAUCCAUUCUGCAACCAUACUCUUACUUUAGGCAUUAGUGGCUUAGUUUCUGCAUGGGCUGGUUGGUAUAGAAACUGGCCCUCGUGAACUUAAGUCAUCAGAUUGAUGGCGAAUUUCAAAGAAUAUGAAUGUAACAAACUUCAGUUAUAUACGAUCAGCGCGAGCUGAAACGUUGCAAUUUACAAUAGGUUUUUAUUUUUCUAUUUUCUGUUCUAAAUUGGAUUUUGUUUCUGACUUAUGCAAAGUUCAGAUUUAAGUUAUAAGUAUACAUUAACGAAGAUCACACAACUAUUGAUUAGGCCAUUCAAAAAUCACUUUUAGAAAGUUGUCUAAGUUAAGCAUCAGUAAGUAACCUUAAAAAUAAAGUCGUAAAUAACUUGUUAUUGUAAUCGUAAUGUAAAAGACCACUAUAUUGUCCACUAUACAUUUAAAUUCAUUUGCAAUUACUCUUUUAAAGGUUAUAUAUUCAGGUUUUAAGAAGAAUUGCAUAUAACUCCUGCACCGUCUUUUUUGCUUUCUCCUCUGUUUUUUCCCGCAUUUGUAACUCUUGCACUAAUAGUAUUUAAUUUGUUACAGUAUGACUCUUCUGUUGAUCUCUUAAUUUUGGUAUGGCGAAAAACAUUACGUGGAAAUUAAAGACGCUAAAGACCACUAGCCAAGGAGAAUAUUGUAUAUAAUGAAAGUUACAACUAGAAGCUUUCUUUUCAACCUUCUCUUCUAGUAAUCCAAGGUAGAAAUGGAUUAUGAUUUUGUGCAUUGUAUUUGUAUGUGAAAAUUAGUUCCUGUUUUGUUAGGAUAUACUAUUACCAAUCCACUUCGUUUUUAUUCUUAAACACAUAAAGUGGUUUUAGCUUUAUUUACUUUUUACGAAUAUAACUUUUUACUUAAUCAGAUAUUUUCGUCUUAUUUAUGUUCGGCUGCUACGGCCGUUUAAUCAGUCAAAGCUUUAAUUUAGAAGAACACGGUUUAUUGAUAAUAAAAACUGAAUAAAGGAAAGUGAUUUUGCUAACAAUAAGAUAGACAGAAGAAAACAAAGUAAACCAGUAUAUUCAGAUGAUCUUUCGUGUCCUUACAAAUGAUCCAUUCUCUCCUUUUUAUAGCUAUCUUAAAGAUAUACGUUUUGCCUUUGUUUUAAUUAGGCCACUAUAGACAAUUAAAGGCAUUAAAUGCUACGUUACAUAAUCAUUGUAAUUUAAUACAGAUUCUAAAACGUUUUUAGUAUUUACUGCUUAUUAAAUACUGUAUUUGUACUCUCUUAUGCUGUCAGAUUUAUUCUCCUUGACUUUUGAGUAUAAAUAGGUACAAGCGUUGAGUCUUUUGAAUAACUGCUCGUGCCUCUACUUGUACCUUCUGCUCGUAUCUAUUGCAACUCGUGCCUCUUUGCCAAUCAUCACUCUUUGACCAGCCUUCGUGUCAUGACAUAUCAUCUUCCAAUCACUUUAAUAUGUAAACUCGAUUUUCCCAAUACAGAUAGUCCCCUCACUUACCAUUUAUUCAUCAAUUGAAUAUUUGGGAAGUGGAUUUUAUUAAAGCGGGAAUGUUGCCGCUAUUAAUGCUACUGUAAAAGCGACGCUUCAAUUGUCACUUCCAUUUAAUACUUAUCACACGUGGCACCCUUUUAUUGGCUCUGUAACUUUACAGCACUUUUUAGGGCUUCAAUAAUCACGAAGUGACAAUUCUCAUUAUGACCUUUCCAUCAUUGCACUUUUUCCUUUGACGGUUGCUUCCUAGUAUAAACAUAGUUUUCAUAUUUAUCCUUAUUACAUAAAGUUCUCUGAGUAUUCAAUUCUUGAAUUUUUAUUUGCUUCUUCCUCGUACUAUCAUGUCUUCACCAAACUCUAACCCUAGAAGAGUCCCUAUAGUUGAUAACUCUCCUCUUGCCCCUAGCAGGAGUAGAAGAGGAGGUAGACUUCGUAAUUUAGGGUCUUCUUCUGUACGUGGUUCUUCUCUUCCUUCAUCUAGUUCCAGUCCUUCCUUUAGAACCAGAGGUUCUUUCUCACAAAGAUCUUCUUCCAGGGGUAAGAAACUCGCUGAACCUGUUCGUGAACCUACAGUAGAAGAAAUAGUUCCUGCAGAACUAUCUUUCUAUAAUGACAGGGAGUCCCUUAGAAAUCAAGUAUUCUCUUUAGAUCGUGCUGAUAUCUAUCCAACUCAGAUUACAGAGGGUCUGAUUUCUUUAGUUCGUAAAGACUGUCAUUGGAGUCAUGACUUCCCUAUCAUAAUUCCCAACGCGAAUUAAAGAAUCACCUCUUAUUUAAUUGGAUUUUCCUUUGUUUAUACAUACCAUUUCACAUUAGGAUUCAAACUUGCUAUUGAUCCUGUUAUUCUCGAAUUCUAUCGUUUUUUCGAUGUUUGCUUAAGCCAAAUUGGCCCUAUAGUGUGGAGGGUUGUUGCCUGUUUGAGGCAUUUGACAAACAUGACCGGUGUGCCUUUCACUUUUGCUCAUUUAAUUCACCUUUACUCUCCUAGACUUUUCCGCCAAGGUGUUUUUACUUUAGUAGCUAGGAGCAAAAGAGUUCUGGUUAGUCCAGAAGAUGACAGAGACCGUGGCUGGUACGCCAGGUUUGUUGCUUCCCCCACCGUGGGUUUAGUCGGUGAUGAAAAUGUCCCCUUCACCGAGAAGUGGAAUUUUGCACGUGAGUUUUCCUUUUUAAUAACUUUCUCGUACCUUUUUCUUCAAUUUUGAUGAUCUCUAUUCUCAUUUUCCUUUUUCUUUUUAGCAACCAUGGGAAUUGUUGAAGAAAUUCCCAAUUUCCGUUGUUGGAUAGGAAGGUUACUGAAUACAGCCCCAAUGAAGUGUAGAUCUUGGAAGCAUCUUUCCCAAUGAUUUGGUUGGAAAGUGAAAACUCAUGGUAAGAGUUUUUUUUAUUUAACUUUUUAUUGUUUUUCCNNNNNNNNNNNNNNNNNNNNNNNCCCAGAACUUAUUUUAAUCCUUCUUUUUAUCAGGAUUUACUAUUUGAGGGAUUAGUGCCAAGGCGGUCGUGGCUUCCUGCAUUUCUUUGGAAAAAGCCCAAGAGAUAAUCUUGGGUUCUUCAUCGAAAAGGAAAGCUGCUAAUGACCAAGAUUCUGAAGAAGAGGAAUAUGGGGGUUCCUUAGUAAAAAGGCCACGAGCUCGUAAGCGAAUCAUUUCUGAUGAUGAAGCAUCCCCCUCGUUCUAUUCCUCUUAUCGAGUUUAUUGAAGCCCCGGUGAUGAUUCCUGAUGAUGAAGUCCUUGUUGCUGCUCAUGAUUCAGUUGAGAAACUUUUUAACCGGUGGUUUGAUGGUGAAUAUUUAGGUCCGAUUUCUGAUGAAGCACCGCUUGCUUCUUUUUCUACUCCCGUUCAUGUGAUUCCUCCUUCAACUGCUCCUUACACAGAGGUUGGUUCUUCAAGUAGGAAUGAUGCUAUGAGGCGAGUUACCAUUGAAGUCCCCACUGAGGGUAACCUUUUAAGGAAAUCAGGUCAAGCUGACGUGUGGCUAAAGCCUUUGAUUGGUCUAGUUGAGAGAGCUAAGCUUGAUGGCCAUAGUUCUGUGACCUUGAUGAAUGAUAUAGUGCAUACUUAUUUAAAGGUAUUCCUUUUUCAAGUUUUACUUUGUCAUUUUUCUAUCUUCAGGAUUCUUAUUUUUUUCCCCUCUCUUUUUUUUAGGUCAAUCUAAUUGACACAGAGAUGAUGAAAAUGGUUACCCUCUCAGAGCAAUUAGUGCGUGACUACCAAGUGGAGGCGGAUAAUUGGAAGGAACGGUGUGAAAGUCUUCAGAUCGACAUUGAAAAUUUAGAAGAAAGUAAAAGUACCUUAAAGCAGCAGGUACGGGCUUUGACUUCAAAAUUGGCAGUUGAAAAGCUUCUUCAAAUCAAGCAAGUAAGGAAAAGGCUCAUCUGGAAACCUCUUUUUUCGAGCAAUUGUGCAAGGCAAGUGAAGAAAUUAGAGAGUUGAGAGCUCUCUUGAGUGAAAAAGAAGCAUAUGCUGGUGAACUCGUGCAGAAUUUGACUCAAACUCAAGAAGACCUCCGAGUAUCUUCUGAUAAGUUUGCUCUUUAGAGAGUUCCCACGUUUUUCUUCAAAGUUAUUAUGAAUCUGCCUUGACUGAAAAUGAAAAGUUAAGAAAUAAAAUUGCUGACUGGGAAAGAGAUUACGAGAUCCUUGAAGAUAAAACUGCCAUUGAAGUGAGUUGGGCGUUUUUAAAUUCUCGCUAUGAUACCCUCGUUGAAGUUAGCCAGGAGAAUUUUAAUUUGGAAUCUGAGUUAGCCAAGAUCAAAGAGACUAUUGAGAAGACUCGGCAGAACCAAGAUUUUUCUUCUCUCGUGGCUGAAGUUUCUGAAAAUGUUGAAGAUAAUACGGGUAUCCCUACUCCUUCAAGUCAAGUUGAGCCCACUGCUGCUGAUGACCCUGCUUCAGUCCCUUCAUCUUCUCAUUGAAAAGUUUAUGUUGUUUGAUUUUUUUUCCUUUUGGUGGUUUGUGAUUGUGACCCUUGAUCUUUUUAAGGGUUUGUUGGAAACGUUAAAUCCCCAGUCCUUUUAUGGGGCACUUUGUAUAAACAACACUUUACAACUGUUUACAACACUUUACCCUGCUUCAGUCCCUUCCCCAAGUUUUUAUUUGAACUUUGUCCAGUUUUAAAUAAUACUUUACAUGUAUUUAAAUUACUUCUAUAACUUUCUCGCAACUGUUUUCCUUAUAACAGAUUUCAAUAAAGAAAAUGAAUAAAAGGUUUUUACUUAUAACCCGUUUCAGUACAUUGCCUUUACCCUAACUAUGAUAAGGUUUUUCUUUGGCUUUGGCUCGUGACUUCAAUCGAACGAUCCCGUACUUCUAUAGAAUCUUAGGCGUGCUUCUCUUUUUCCUUCAAGUAGAUCAAGAUUUAUGCGCAUUUCUUCGCCAUUAGACUCUUCUGACAUUUGUGUAAACCUUGCGCUUGGCUCUCCUAUCUCAACUGGAAUUAAAGCUUCAGCUCCAUAAACCAAUAAAAAUGGUGUUUUUCCCGUACUUGUUUUUGUUGUUGUGUAGUAUGCCCAUAAAACACCAGGUAACAAUUCUGGCCGAUUACCUUUGGAUUCCUCCAAAUGUUUCUUUAAAUUAUUGAUAAUGACUUUGUUUGUUGACUCAGCUUGUCCAUUACCCGUCGGAUGAUAAGGUGUGGAUGUAAUCUUUUUGAUCUGCCAACUUUGAAAAAACUCUGUAAGUUGUGCGCCUAUAAAUUGAGGGCCAUUAUCACACAUGAUUUCCUUUGGCACACCGAACCGACAUAUGAUAUUUCGCCAAAUGAAAUAUCUAACUUCUUUUUCUCGCACCCGUUUGAAUGCUCCUGCUUCCACCCAUUUAGUAAAAUAGUCAGUAAGUACAAAUAAGAAUUUUACCUGUUCUUUUGCUUGUGGUAGUGGACCCACGAUAUCCAUUUCCCAUUUCAUAAAUGGACACGGUGCAAUGAUCGGAUGUAACAACUCCGCAGGUCUAUACAUGUUAUUACCGUAUCUUUGGCACUUAUCACAUUUAGCCACAAAAUUUACCGCAGGUCUAUACAUGUUAUUUCGCUUCUUCUUCCAUUUUAGCCAGUAAUAACCUGCCCCAAUCAUGGUUCUUACCAGUGAUCUUCCUCCGGCGUGAUUUCCACAAUGCCCCUCGUGUAUCUCUCUCAUUACAUAUUCCGUCUGUGAAGGCCCGAGGCACAUUUCUAAGGGUCUACCGAACAUUUUUCGAUAAAGAUUGCCUUGCUUUAGACAAUAUCGAGCAGCCUUUUUCCGAAGCGCGUGAGCUUUUUUCUUGUCUUUAGGGACGAUUCCAUACUGCAAAAAGCAACAAUNNNNNNNNNNNNNNNNNNNNNNNNNUUUCCUGACCAGAUCCCGUACCUUCUCUAAGUACUGCUGCAUCCGUGCUUCUCUGGCCGUAUAAGUCCCCAGCAUUGGAUUAACUACGAGCUAGAAUCACUUUUGAUCACAAUCUGAUUAAUGCCGAGUUCUCAUUCUAGUUCUAAACCUGCAAUCACAGCUUCAUACUCUGCCUCAUUGUUAGUUAUAGAAUGACAUUUAAUGGCUUGUCGAAUGGUUUCAUCUGUAGGUGGUACCAAAACAAUUCCCAGGCCUGCACCCUUAACAUUAGAGGAACCAUCAGUGAAUAAGGUCCAAAUUCCUGGAUUAGAGCCGUUGAACACUUGUAAUUCUUUUUCUGCUUCCAAUUGCAUUCCUUAGCUAAAAUCAGCCACAAAAUCUGCUAACACUUGAGAUUUUAUCGCGGUUCUAGGCUAGUAUGCAAUGUCAUAUUCACUUAAUUCUAUAGCUCAUUUAGCUAACCUACCUGACAACUCAUGCUUAUUUAAUAUAUUGCGUAAUGGAUAAGCAAUUACUACAACGAUAGGAUGACAUUGAAAAUAAGGCCUUAAUUUUCUAGAUGCCAUGAUUAAUGCAAGUGCUAGCUUUUCUAACUAAGGAUACCGCGUAUCCGUAUCUAAUAAAGAUUUGCUGACAUAAUAGAUCGGAGAUUGUUUACCUUGGUCUUCACGGACUAAAACAGCACUUACUGCUACUUCUGAGACAACAAGGUAGAUGAACAAUGUUUCCCCAACCUUUGGUUUUGCGAGUAAUGGCGGAUUUGACAGGUAUGCCUUCAAAUAUUUGAGUGUCUGCUGACAUUCCUCAGUCCAUUCGAACUGAUCUUGCUUUUUAAGAGCUGAAAAGAACUUAAAGAAUUUUUCUGAUGAUUUAGAAAUGAAUCUCCCCAAGGCUGCAAUUCUUCCUGUCAUCCUCUGCACUUCUUUUCUACUUGUAAGCAUGUCAGGAAUUUCUUCAAUGGCCUUAAUCUGUGUGGGAUUCACUUCAAUACCACUGUUAUAAACAAGAAAACCAAAAACUUACCUGAUGCAACACCGAAUGCACAUUUCUCCGAAUUUAAUUUCAUAUUGAAUUUUCGCAAGACCUGAAACGUAUCAGACAAGUGCGAUAUAUGAUCCCCUGAAUGUUGGGUUUUAACGAGCAUGUCAUCUAUGAAAACCUCCAUUGUUUUUCCCAAAUGUUUUUGGAACAUUUUGGUCACAAGUCUUUGAUAUGUUGCACCAGCAUUUUUGAGACCAAAAGACAUUAUUUUAUAACACUAAGUCCCCUUAUCUGUUAUAAAUGAAGUUUUUUCUUCAUCUAUUGGAUCCAUUUUGAUCUGAUUGUAUCCUGAAUACGCAUCUAAAAAACUUAACAAUUCAUGUCCUGCAGUAGCAUCAAUUAGUUGAUCUAUAUGUAGUAAUGGAAAAGAAUCUUUAGGACAAGCUUUGUCAAGGUCUGUGUAAUCUACACAAACUCGCCACUUACCAUUCUUCUUCGGCACCACAACAGUAUUGGCUAACCAAUUAGGAUACUUUACCUCACAGAUAGACCCAAUCUUUAACAAUUUUUGAACCUCAUCUUAAAUCACCUGAUUUUUGAAAGUUCAUCGCUUUCUCUUCUUUUGUUUGAUUGGGGGAUACGAUGGGUCUUUAUUUAUUUUGUGAGUCAUUACCUCCGGUGGUAUUCCUGUCAUAUCAUAGUAGGACCAAGCAAAACAAUCCAUGUUAGUUUUAAAAAUCAAUCAAUUUACCNNNNNNNNNNNNNNNNNNNNNNNNNNNNNNNNNNNNNNNNNNNNNNNNNNNNNNNNNNNNNNNNNNNNNNNNNNNNNNNNNNNNNNNNNNNNNNNNNNNNNNNNNNNNNNNNNNNNNNNNNNNNNNNNNNNNNNNNNNNNNNNNNNCAAUCGUUGUCUUGAUAUUUUCAUUUUUUUCUGGUUCUUGAAUGGCAUCUGGCCUUGAGUCCACAUCUGAUCGUCCUUGUUCAGUUGAGGUUUGUGUUGUGGUACCCUCAACUGGAUUCUGUAAUUGCUAUUUUUCUUCAUUUCCCAUACUUGAAUCUGCUACAGAAUUGAUGCUUCUGGAUGUAUGUUGAUCCCCACGGAUUUGACAUAUUCCCCAUGGUGAUGGAAAUUUAAUAACUUGAUGCAAGGUUGAUGGAACGACAUCCAUCUCGUGGAUCCAUGGUCUCCCAAGGAUCAUAUUGUAAGCCAUCUCCAUAUCUACCACCUGAAAUUUUGUAUCCUUGACAACUCCUUCUGCGAAUGUUGUAAGUAUUACCUCCCCUUUUGUCACUACGCUGGAAUUGUCAAAUCCAGAUAGAGUAUGCGCCUUUGGUAUUAAUUUAUAUUCAGCUUGCAUCUCACGUAGUACUCUUAGCAAAAUAAUGUUCACGAAACUACCUGGAUCAAUCAAAACUCAUUUCACAUUAGUAUCAUGUACAAGUAAAGAUAUUACCAGUGCAUCGUUAUGUAGGGAUAAUACGCCAUCCGUGUUUGCAUCAUCAAACGUAAUGCUUUCUUCCUCUAAGACAUGUUGCACCCACUUCCCGUGGGUAAUUGUGACUUUGGAGACUUUAUUGGCUGCUGUGUACGUCACACCAUUGAUGUCUUCACCUCCACUUAUCACAUUAACGGUCCUUUUGGGAGAAGGUGGUUUUGGGGGCUCCUGCCUAUUCUUCAUAUAUGCUUGCUUACCUCUCUCACUGAAUAAUUCAGUGAGAUACCCUUGCUUUAAUAGAUGAUCAACUUCACCUUGCAGCAACCUACAGUCUGCCGUUUUAUGCCCGUGAUCAUUGUGAAAUUCGCACCAGUGAUCAGGGUUGUGCCUGUUUGGGUUCGAUCUUAUUUCUUUCGGCCACCGUACCUUAUCACCCAUUUUUCUUAAAACAGCUACGAGCUCGGAAGUGCUUACAUUAAAAUUAUAACUGCCAAACCAUGCUUUCAAAUUUCUAUCAUCAUCCCAUGACUCUCGCUCGUUUCGAUCUUUUCCAAAUCUUGAUGACGAGCCCGACUCUCUAUUCCUCGACCUAUGAUCGUACCUCGGAUUGUCCUGUUUUGACCGUGAAUCUUUUCCUACUGGACUCAUAUAUGGUUCGUACCUGUUUUUACUGGACCUUUUUUCGAUUUCCGCCCGUCUCGAACUCACCUUUUCUUCUUUUUGAGAUCAUGAGAUAAUAUCCUCUUCUAUCCUUAGAUUCAUACUGUAUCUGUUAUAAACGUCAUUCCACGUUGUUGCUGGGAAUUCACGAAGACUUUCCUUGAGUCGCCUCGUGGCUUCAGAGCUUUUUUCAUUCAAAUUACUAGUGAAGGCUAUAGCUGCCCAAUUGUCAGGUACGCGCGGUAACGUCAUUCUUUCACGCUGGAACCUAUCCACGAACUCCCUAAGCAAUUCUGAGUCCCCUUGCUUGAUUUUGAAAAUAUCUUCCAUUUUUUUUGACUUUUUGAGCUCCUGAGUGUGCUUUGAUAAAUGAAUCGGCAAGCUCAGCAAAAUAAUUUAUUGAAUUUUUAGGUAAAAGAGAAUACCAUGUUAAUGCAUCCUUAGUGAGUGUUUCACCGAAUUCUUUGACCAAUACUGACUCAAUUUCUUGUUUGAUCAAGUCAUUGCCUUUUACGCCUGUUGUGAAUGCAGUCACGUGGUCUCGUGGAUCAGUUAUUCCAUCGUAUUUUGGAAUAUCGGGCAUUUUGAAUUUCUUUGGAAUUGGGAGGGGGCAGCACUUGGCUUCCAAGGUUGUUGUGAAUAUUUAUCCAUAUCUAUCCUUUUGAUUACGGGUGGUACUCCAGGUAUUUCCUCUAUGCGGUCACUUUGUUCCUUGAGCUGUUUCUACAAUGUUAGUACUAAAUUUUGUAAAUCCGAAUUGACUAAGCUACAUGGUUCUCCUUCUCGUGACUCACUGGGGAUUCCACCACUACCUGAAUUAGCAAGCCCAAAACAAGGGUUCUCCAAAGUGUUAUUAUUUGGAGUGGGUGUUGGUGGUGCAACGGGUAAUUGGCUGACAAAGGCCUCAAGAGCUUUAUUGACCUGUUGAGCGAUUAGCUUUUGCAAAGCUUCAUUGAUAGCUUAAUCAUUUUCGAAUUGAGAAUUUCCAUUUGCAUGAGAUCUAUCAAGAGUGCCUUCUCGAAAUCAUCGAGGAGAACUUUGUGGAGAAGGGAUUGGGAUGUGAUCAUCCUGUGGAUUCUCCUGUAAUUGUUGGUUUCCUUGGUUUCCUUGGGUGUUGUCAUUGAUGUUCGAUAUAGUUGAUACAACAAAAAAGGUUAGGCUAAGAAAGAGUAGAUUAUCAGAUCCCCGGUAAGGGAACCAAUUUGUUUAACCAAAAAGUGGAAUUUCAGUGAAAGCUUUAAUUUAGAAGAACACGGGUUACUGAUAAUCAAAACUGAAUAAAGGAAAGUGAUUUUACUAACAAUAAGAUAGACAGAAGAAAACAAAGUAAACCAGUAUAUUCAGAUGAUCUUUCGUAUCCUUACAAAUGAUCCAUUCUCUCCUUUUUAUAGCUAUCUUAAAGAUAUACGUUUUGCCUUUGUUAUAAUUAGGCCACUAUAUACAAUUAAAGGCAUUAAAUGCUACAUUACAUAAUUAUUGUAAUUUAAUACAGAUUCUAUAACGUUUUUAGUAUUUACUGCUUAUUAAAUACUGUAUUUGUACUCUCUUAUGCUGUCAGAUUCAUUCUCCUUGACUUUUGAGUAUAAAUAGGUACGAGCGUUGAGUCUUUUGAAUAACUGCUCGUGCUUCUACUUGUACCUUCUGCUCGUAUCUAUUGCAACUCGUGCCUCUUUUCCAAUCAUCACUCUUUGACCAGCCUUCAUAUCAUAACACGUCAUCUUCCAAUCACUUUAAUAUGUAAACUCGAUUUUUCCAAUACAACGGCAUGUUGUAAAACUAAAUGAACCGAACUAUUUCUAAACUGAAAUAUUUACAACAUCAAAAUCUUUUAACUUUUGAAUGUAACUCUAUCUAGUUUCCUGACAGAAUAAAAAGAUAUCCAUCUAAUGACCUUUAUAGGUAAAGAUACCAUGUGGUUAAGCGUAGAGAGUAAUCUUCCUAAGAUAAAGCAGUAAAAAUUUACUUGCACAUGAUACUUGCAUCAAAUUAAUAAAUAGAUAAUAUGUGUUUGCAUAUAAAAUUUUCACUUAAUCAUAAUUAAUUUUUAUAUAUUCUCGCCUAAUUUUUUCACUUAACUAAUAAAGUAACAUAGUUCGCUAUAAAACACUAGUGGCUAAUAAGUAGGAAUAGUAAGUUUUUAUGAAAUCAAAGUGCUCAUCGCCAAUAGCUUACACGGGGAAUUAGAGAGCAAAAUCAACCUAUAUAUAUAAAUGAUUUUUACUAUAAGGUAAAUUUUAAAAUAUCUAGACGAAUGUAACGUGUUGUAACGACUCGAUCGGUCGUUUUGAGCUCUAGCAUGUCGUUCAGCAGUUUGAGACCUUGAGUAGCUUCACUUCAUGUGUUAUGACUAGCACGCGCAGUUGGUUUUGAUUUUCGGGAAGUUCGGAGUUGAUUUGGAAGGAUAAUUCUCAAUUCGAAAGCUUUAAGUUGGAAGAGUUGAUCAAGGUUUAAAACAACCUCAGAAUCGGGAUUCGAAAGUUCCUAUAAGUUCAGAAGGUGAUUUCAGACUUAGGCGUAUGUUCGGGUUGAGUAUCGGAUGGUCCAAGAGCGUUUCAACGCUUAAUAUCGGAAGUUUGUAUUUUGAAGGUUUUGAAAUUUGCUAAGUUUGACUUGGAAUGGAUUUCGGAAUUAUCAAACUCCGGAUGGAGUUUUGGGACCUUGGAUAGGUUCAUUUAGUUGAUUGAAACUUGUGUGUGACGUUUGGUCGUAACCAGAAUGUCUAAGUAUGAUUCGGACGCAUUCGGUGAAGUUUCAAUGUUUGAAAGUUAAGAGAAGGUUUUGAUCCUCGAUUCAUGGUUUUGAUGUUAUUCAUGGCAUUUCGAGUCUUUGGGGAAGUUUGGAUAAGGUAUUGGGACUGGUUGGUAUGAUUGAACGGGGUCCCAGGGGCCUCGGGGUGGUUUCGGACCAAGUUUGAGUGUUUUGCUAGUGCAUGUUUCUGGUGUUGUCCUUGCGAACGCGGUGGGGAGCACGUGCUCGCGGAGAAGGAUUUGAGCAAGAGGUUGUUGUGCUUCGCGUUCGCGAUUAGCUUGUCGUAUUCACGAAGGUUUGCGCAGUGGUGCUUCGCGUUCACGAAUAAGGAUUUGAGUAGGAGGUCGUUGUGCUUCGUGUUCGCAAUUGACGUGCCGCGUUCACCAAAAGUUUGGGCAGUGGUGCUCCGCGUUCAUGAAGGAGUAGUUGACCUGGAGUCUUGGCCUUCGCGUUCGUGGAGGCGUGGUCGCAUUCACGUUCGCGAAGAUGCGGCCUAGUAAAGCAACACGUUUGUGGGCCUUGUCUUGCAUUCAUGAUGAUGAUUUUUGGAGCAGGAGUUUGAGUAUGCUUCGCUAAUGCGAGGCACACGCCUCAUUCGCGAAGAAGGUUCACCUGGAUAGAAUAUAAGUUAGCAAAUUGAGAAUUUGCUCAUUUUUAUCUCUUUUUUCACAUUGGAGCCGAUUUUGGGGCGAUUUUGAAGAGCCAUUUUCAUCAUAUAUCACGAGGUAAGUGAUUCCUACUCAUUUUGAGCUAAAUACAUGGAUAAUAUUUGGAUUAAAAUAUGGAAAUUAUUAGAAAUUGUGGAAUUUUGGAAGAAAAUCUAGAAAUAACAUUUUUGGAUUUUGACCACAAUAUUGGAUAUGAAAUUGGGAAUAAAUUAUAUAUUUGAAUUUGUGGUGCUAUGAGUAGUAUUUAUUUUCAAAAACUUUUGGAAUUCGGGCAUGUGGGCCUGGGGGUUGACUUUGUUGACUUUUUGUGUAGAGAUGGGAAUUAUUUCUAAUUGGUUAAAUUACGAGUUUGAGUAUAUUUUGAUUAGUUUGUACAUUCUUUGGCUAGUUCGGAUCGUUUAACAUUGGCUUGAAGUGUUAGAGAUGUGUUGGAGCCGGUUAUCAAAAACUACUCAUAGUCGGUGCUAUGAGUAGUAUUUAUUUUCAAAAACUUUCGGAAUCCGGGCACGUGGGCCCGAGAGUUGACUUUGUUGACUUUUCGUGUAGAGAUUGGAAUUAUUUCUAAUUGAUUAAAUUACGAGUUUUAAGUAUAUUUUGAUUGGUUUGUACGUUCUUUGGCUAGUUUCGGAUCAUUUAACAUUGGCUUGAAGUGUUAGAGAUGUGUUGGAGCCGGUUAUCGGAUUUUGGAGCGAUUUAAGUUUCCUGUCUAACCUUAUGAGGGAGAAUUUAUCCUAUAGGUGUUAUGUUUUAUAUGUGCUACAUAUUGUGAGAGCUACGCAUGUAUGAAGUGACGAAUAUCCGUGCAUAUGCUAGAAUUUAUGAUUAGGUCAAGGUAGACUUAGACUCACUCUAUGCUUUAAUGGUAAUACUUGAGUUAUUCUUGCACUUUAAUUUAUAUUUUUUCCUGAGAUUAGACUUACAUAAAGUAGCGGACUUGCUACUUAGAUAUUUGGCGAGUUGCUUGAUUAGUAGUAAAAUUGUACUUUAUUUUACGAAUUUCUCCCACGUUGUACGAAAUUGUCGGAUAAGUUAUCUAAAUUUCAUAACUCACAUAUAUAUUCGUGAGUAGAGCCAGUGACCCGUCAAGUUACACUAUUCCUAGGGGAUCGGGUUGAACGCCUCAAUAGUACUAUUAUGGAUCGGGUCGUACGAUUCGGUGGUAUUAUGAGAUACAUUUAUGGUUCAGGCUGGUCGACCAUCGACAUUGUAUAUGAUUAUUAUGGGAUCGGACCAUACGCCACAAUAAGAAAUCAUGCCAUUACUCUUAUGGGAUCGAGUCGUUCGUCUCAGCAGAAUCGUGCAAAUAUUUGAUAAGGAGUCGGCGUAAUUAUGAGUUUUCUUGACUUGAAAUGUGACCAUUUAUUUGGUGUUGACCAUUAUGUAUUCCAUUUGAGGAAGUAUCCAGUAUUUGAGGACUUCAUGUUUACUCUUCAGUUGAGGAUCGUAUUAUGUACCUAUAUCUAUUUUCACUGCUUUACUUGUCAUACUUCAUACCUGUCUGCUUUUAUUGUACUUGAUUUAUUGGACCACUAGUAAGUGUCGAUGUCGACCCCUCAUCACUAGUUCUUCGGGGUUAGGCUAGAUACUUACUGGGUACGCGUUAAUUUACGUACUCAUACUACACUUCUGCAUUAAUUGUGCAGGUACUGAGAUAGGUUCAUUUGGUGGUCAUCUUGGCACAUAAGCGCAGUUGCUGAGGGGACUUUAUGGUGAUCUGCAUUUCAUGUUACGAUCCGCAGUACAGUAAGUCUUCAUCAUAUUUAUUUAUUCAAUUUAUCAUGUCUAUUUUAUAUUCCAGACAGACGUUGUAUUAGUAUUAUACUCCCUGAUAGAUGCUCAUGUACUUGUGACACCGGAUUUUAUGGAUUUAGAUUUUGCUCUUGAUUGUAUUCCUCUAUGAUUCUUCUGGUUUAUAUUUUUGCUUUAUUCGAACAUUUAAAAUAUUAACAUCUAUAUUUUUUAUUUAAAAAAACGAUACCACUCUGUAUUUCUUUAAUAGUUUCGAAAUGCAUUUUAGAUUAACUAUUGACAUGUUGAUUUAAUAGUUGGCUUGCCUAAUAGUAGCGUUGGGCGCAAUCACGACUUACGGUGGAUUUUGAAUCGUGACUAUAUAACAUGAGUUAUUAGCAAUUGUCUUUCAGGUAACUUGAUUGUUAUAUAUUUUUUGGUCAAAUAGGCAAAAACUUUAUUCAACCAAGUAUAAUUAUGUAACCACCAAAGGAUGUGGUGCAGUGGAUGAGACUGUUCCUCCCUUAACAAGAGGUCUCGAGUUUGAGCCCUGGGUAUGGAAAAAUACUUGGAAGGGAGUGCUUUCCCCCGAAUGGGGCCCUACGCGACGCGAAUCCGGAUAUAGUCGGGCUUCAAUAUGGAUACCGAACACUGGGUGGGAAACCAAAAAAAAUUAUAAUUAUGUACAUCCGCUAGCUCAAUUGGACUAUAACUAGAUCCAUAUUAAAAUUCAUGCCAAACGAAAAACCCUUCAGCCACUUAACAGUUUCCUCUAUAAACUAUCCAUUUACAUAGACUAGGUAGGGAUACUUAUUUUAUUUGAUUUUUUAUUGUCCUCUAAUGUGCAGUUGAAGAACCAUAUUUCGAGUUAUCUGAGUGCACUCUUUCCUUUUCCCCUGAAAUCUACGCAUAUUCCUUUGAAUCUAAGUGUUAUAUACUAGUACUGCAAACAAAAACGCCAAUAUGAUUGCUCGAGGUCUGUCACUCUUAGGGGUCGUUUGGUAGGGUGCAUUGGAGAAAAUAAUGCAUGCAUUAAUUUUUGGUAUUAGUAAUCCCUUGUUUGGUACACUUUUUCAACCUAUGUAUUACUAAUGCAAGUAUUAGUUAUACAACAUAUUUGGUAUUAUCCUAUGUAUAACUAAUACAUAGCAAACUAUGUAUUAGUUUUCCGAAGUGAUCGAUUCCUCACUGGAUUCAAUGCCCUACGAAGGAGCCCCGGCACGUCCUCAGGUUUCAGGUUGCUAGCAGUUCUUGCCAAUUCAGGAGAGAUGGUCUGUUUCUUCUUUGACCAUUAAUUUUCUCUGGCUGUCGCGAAUCGGAGUUAUGGAUUCUAAAUAUGCAAAACGGAUGAGCUUCAUUUUUGCAUUUGGUGAGUCUGUUGGAUACGUGUUUUUUAUUAUCUCGGAUUUUAUCCUCAUUACGAGUGGCCUAAAAGCAGAAAGGAAGCUUUUGACUGAAGAGGAGGAGUCUAAGGAAACAGAAGGCGAAAUCAAGAAAAUUAGAAUGGAUAGAAUUAUGAGAUUGAUGGCUGUGGCAGCUAAUAUAGCUGACCUUAUAAUUGCCUUGGCUGAAAU
rnacentral:lncRNA from 1 species